AAUCAACGCUGGCGGCGUGCCUCAGACAUGCAAGUCGAACGAUUAAGACUUCCCUCGGGAAGUGUAUAAAGUGGCGCACGGGUGAGUAACACGUAAGUAAUCUACCUUCGAGUGGGGAAUAACGUUCGGAAACGAACGCUAAUACCGCAUAAUGCAGCGGCAUCGCAAGAUGCCAGUUCUUAAAGGAAUUUAUUUCGCUUGAAGAGGAGCUUGCGGCAGAUUAGCUAGUUGGUAAGGUAACGGCUUACCAAGGCUACGAUCUGUAUCCGGUCUAAGAGGACGGUCGGACACACUGACACUGAAUAACGGGUCAGACUCCUACGGGAGGCAGCAGUCGGGAAUUUUGGGCAAUGGGCGAAAGCCUGACCCAGCAACGCCGCGUGAAGGAUGAAGUAUUUCGGUAUGUAAACUUCGAAAGAAUGGGAAGAAUAAAUGACGGUACCAUUUGUAAGCUCCGGCUAACUACGUGCCAGCCGCCGCCGUAACAC
rnacentral:rRNA from 1 species